rnacentral:tRNA from 1 species
GCCUAGCUGGCUCAGUGGGAAGAGUAUAAGACUCCUGAUCUCAGAGUUGUGAGUUCGAUCCUCAUGUUGGGUA